rnacentral:rRNA from 1 species
AUUGAACGCUGGCGGAAUGCUUUACACAUGCAAGUCGAACGGCAGCACGGACUUCGGUCUGGUGGCGAGUGGCGAACGGGUGAGUAAUAUGUCGGAACGUGCCCAGUCGUGGGGGAUAACGUAGUGAAAAUUACGCUAAUACCGCAUACGAUCUAUGGAUGAAAGCGGGGGAUCGCAAGACCUCGCGCGAUUGGAGCGGCCGAUAUCAGAUUAGGUAGUUGGUGAGGUAAAGGCUCACCAAGCCGACGAUCUGUAGCUGGUCUGAGAGGACGACCAGCCACACUGGAACUGAGACACGGUCCAGACUCCUACGGGAGGCAGCAGUGGGGAAUUUUGGACAAUGGACGCAAGUCUGAUCCAGCCACUCCGCGUGCAGGACGAAGGCCUUCGGGUUGUAAACUGCUUUUGUACAGAACGAAAAGGUCUCUAUUAAUACUAGGGGCUCAUGACGGUACUGUAAGAAUAAGCACCGGCUAACUACGUGCCAGCCGCCGCCGUAA